rnacentral:rRNA from 1 species
ACUAACAGGAUUCCCCUAGUAACUGCGAGUGAAGCGGGAAAAGCUCAAAUUUAAAAUCUGGCGGUUAUGCCGUCCGAGUUGUAAUCUGGAGAAGUGUUAUCCGCGCUGGACCGUGUACAAGUCCCUUGGAAUGGGGCGUCGUAGAGGGUGAGAAUCCCGUCUUUGACACGGAUCGCCAGGGCUAUGUGAUGCGCUCUCGAAGAGUCGAGUUGUUUGGGAAUGCAGCUCAAAACGGGUGGUAAAUUCCAUCUAAAGCUAAAUAUUGGCGAGAGACCGAUAGCGAACAAGUACCGUGAGGGAAAGAUGAAAAGCACUUUGGAAAGAGAGUGAAACAGUACGUGAAAUUGUUGAAAGGGAAACGCUUGGAGUCCAGUCGCGUCUUCCGGAAUUCAGCCUUGCUUUUGCUCGGUGCACUUUCCGGUUUGACGGGUCAGCACCGGUUUCUAAGUCGGAUAAACGCGUGGGGAAGGUGGCACCUCCGGGUGUGUUAUAGCCCUGCGUUGCACAACGGCUAGUGGGACCGAGGAGUUCCGGCUUUACCGCUGGGAUGCUGGCAUAAUGGCUUUAAGCGACCCGUCUUGAAACACGGACCAAGGAGUGCUACACGCUCGCGAGUGUUUGGGUUUCAAACCCUUACGCGCAAUGAAAGUGAAAGUCGAUACCCUUUGCUGGGACACCGACGCCCGAGCCUGACGUUUUCUGAAGGCCUUGCGGUAGAGCGAGUGCGUUGCGACCCGAAAGAUGGUGAACUAUUCCUGAGGAGGGUGAAGCCAGAGGAAACUCUGGUGGAGGCUCGUAGCGGUUCUGACGUGCAAAUCGAUCGCAGGGACUUGGGAAUAGGGGCGAAAGACUAAUCGAACCAUCU